CAAUAUUCACAGAAGUGUAAAUUGGAAGGUACUUCAUCAGAUCACCUGAUGCAGUCACCUGCUCAUGGUCAUGUGUUGUAAUGCCUUCUUUUUAUAGAUAAGGAAACCAACACCCAGGAAGUUUAGCUCCUGCCAGAGACCCUUUUCAGGCAAUAUUCUUAGCGAUUUCUAGUUCUCCCUGAGAGUCACAGUCUGACUUAAAGCUUACAAAUGAAUAUCUCCCGUAGGAAAACUAUGGAGUGCCCUAAUUAGAGCAUUUGCUAGUAGUGAUUCCCUGCUUACUAUUCUAGCUUCCAUAAGCUCCCAAUACCUUUGGCCGGGCUCCCAAUACCUUUGGCGGGGCUCUCAGAUCCGUUGACUCAGAAGCUCUCUCUUUCCUUUGUUAGCAUCUGCCAGUCCAGCUCUUAGCAAACGAAAAGAAAUGAAGAGAAAGGAGUGACCUGGCUGGCUUCAUGGCCCAGGCCAGUGGCUGGAGUGGAGGGAUGGGGAGGUGGGGCCAGGAGGGGUGGGAAUAUUGAGGUCCAGAAGCGUUUUAAUGAGGACCAACUGGGUGCCCAGUUGUGUUAAGCUCUGUAGGGAAUUGGGAGGUAGAAAGCUGAUUGUCUUAUUGGAGCUGGGAGACUUAUUUGCAAAAAAUUAUUGGUGGCCAGCCAGACACAGAGUUUAGUGGGGCAGUAGUAAUUGCUAACGGAGCUCCUUACGGAAUAAGUCAGGGCAAUUUUGUGUGCAGGAAACCUGUGCCCUCCUCCCCAAGGAUUCAGCAUCCCACCUGCCUGGGCUCAGCUUUUGAACCUCCUGAGACUUUCCCAGGGGGUUGCUCCCGACCACGAUACCCGGGGCAGAGCCUUUCUCUCUUCAGCUCCUCCGCAUGCUUGGCAGGGGGUCAAGGAUGCUCUGGGUUUCAAGAUCUCUGUCCUUGUGACCCUUCUGGGGAAGCCUGCUUUUCCUAGAAGGGUUCCGGGAAUAAGGAAGCAGGACUGCCAUUCUUUGGGAACAUUUCUUAGGCUCUUUUCUGCCUUUUCUUUUUGGAGAGUGCUAGACUAACCCACAAUAGGACAAAACUGGAAUGCUAUAAAUGCUAAAUGCCGGCACGGUAGCUGUCAGAUGUUUUUCCCGAAGCCCCUUGGUGGUCGUUUCACCUUUCUCCCCUGCCUUCUCCUGGCCAUGCACCGGGGACACUCCUGCUCAUCAAGAGAACCCACCUGCACCUGCCCUGCUCUCUCAGUCCUGGGUCUGAUCCUACCUCCAUGUUGGACACACCAAGGAAACGAUGGUUCUGGUGACAGAGUCCCAUCGCAGCCCACGUGGGAAUGUGCUGUCCCAGCUACUGACUCAGCCUCCCUGGAUUUCGCUCCGCACUUGCCAAAUUAGAAGUCUGGGUGAAGUGGUCUCUAUGGGCUUUUCUUUGUCAGAAUGGCUAACUCAAACCUCCUGUGCCUCUUGAGACAUCUGCCUCACAACUUCCAGUCUGGAUAGCGCAGAGCCAAGCGUUGGACGCGACGGGAGCAUGAACUGAACCAUGGGCUGUUAAGGAGCUGCUGCUUGAGUUGGGCCUUGACUGAUGAAGACGUAUGGCUAUAGGAUAAAGGCAAAUGUGCAGAAGAACUUUGUUGCUGUCAAGCAUGCUCCUGGAGAUUUGGUUUUUAGUAGAAAUUUUCUUGAAAAUGAAUGGAGUGAGCCUGAAGCUUCAAGGAAAACAAUCUGAUGGUGCUGCUGCUGCUGCUAUCUGAAGUUUCAAGUGACCAUGAGGAUCCACCGUCAGCUGGCAGCUUUCUACCAGGACUACUACAUCUAAACCAGACCACCUCCGACCCCCCAGAUGUUCAGGAGUGGAGACCCAGCAGCUCAGAAGGCAGCAAUGGAUAGUGGUGUAGAGUGGAGGUUCUAAAGUCAGACUGUGUGGUAUCAGGCGGUUUAUUGAUUCUUUGCCUUGAGCUUAUCACAUAACUAGUAAGCUACCAGGUUGGGAGCUGGACCUACGUCUGGCUUCAUGCCUGAGCUUUCAACUACUUUACUAAAUGGAGAGGAGCUUGCGUGAGUAAAUGAUGUGAUGCAUGAAGGCUUGUGCUUCUGUUAAAGAAGAUGAACAUAUAAUUCACUUAUUCCAUAAGUAUUUAUUUUUAAAUAUAUCCAUUUGAUGA